AUUGAACGCUGGCGGCAGGCCUAACACAUGCAUGUCGAACGGUAACAGGAAACAGCUUGCUGUUUCGCUGACGAGUGGCGGACGGGUGAGUAAUGUCUGGGAAACUGCCUGAUGGAGGGGGAUAACUACUGGAAACGGUAGCUAAUACCGCAUAACGUCGCAAGACCAAAGAGGGGGACCUUCGGGCCUCUUGCCAUCAGAUGUGCCCAGAUGGGAUUAGCUAGUAGGUGGGGUAACGGCUCACCUAGGCGACGAUCCCUAGCUGGUCUGAGAGGAUGACCAGCCACACUGGAACUGAGACACGGUCCAGACUCCUACGGGAGGCAGCAGUGGGGAAUAUUGCACAAUGGGCGCAAGCCUGAUGCAGCCAUGCCGCGUGUAUGAAGAAGGCCUUCGGGUUGUAAAGUACUUUCAGCGGGGAGGAAGGGAGUAAAGUUAAUACCUUUGCUCAUUGACGUUACCCGCAGAAGAAGCACCGGCUAACUCCGUG
rnacentral:rRNA from 1 species